rnacentral:lncRNA from 1 species
GCAGCUAUAAGGAUCUAUCCAAUCAGAUUACUAUACUACUAAGAUUUAUAAUUAAUUAUUUAGAUCUAAUGUAAAUAAUUAAAAUUAGAUUAUAUAUAAAAAAUUUAUAUCAUAAGAUAUUUUGCUCUGAUACCAUCUGAAAUCCUAUUUUCUCCUAUGACCGAAAGUCCUUUUAAUAGUUGCAAUUUGUUGCAGGGUCUGC